CGGGUAGAGUAACGCGUGGGAAUCUGCCUUUGAGCGGGGGACAACAUUUGGAAACGAAUGCUAAUACCGCAUAAAAACUUUAAACACAAGUUUUAAGUUUGAAAGAUGCAAUUGCAUCACUCAAAGAUGAUCCCGCGUUGUAUUAGCUAGUUGGUGAGGUAAAAGCUCACCAAGGCGAUGAUACAUAGCCGACCUGAGAGGGUGAUCGGCCACAUUGGGACUGAGACACGGCCCAAACUCCUACGGAAGGCAGCAG
rnacentral:rRNA from 1 species